AUUGAACGCUGGCGGCAGGCCUAACACAUGCAAGUCGAACGAGUGGCGGACGGGUUAGUAAUGUCUGGGAAACUGCCUGAUGGCGGGGGAUAACUACUGGAAACGGUAGCUAAUACCGCAUACCCUCAGAUGUGCCCCGCUGGGCUUAGCUUGUUGGUGGGGUAACGGCUCACCAAGGCGACGAUCCCUAGCUGGUCUGAGAGGAUGACCAGCCAAACGGGAACUGAGAAACGGUCCAGACUACUACGGGAGGAAGCAGUGGGGAAUAUUGCACAAUGGGCGCAAGCCUGAUGCAGCCAUGCCGCGUGUAUGAAGAAGGCCUUCGGGUUGUAAAGUACUUUCAGCGGGGAGGCGUUACCCGCAGAAGAAGCACCGGCUAACUCCGUGCCAGCAGCCGCGGUAAUAC
rnacentral:rRNA from 1 species